GUCUUGGCCACACCUCUUUGCCUGAGAGUCAUCUACUUGCAUGGACAAACAACACAGAAAACAAGCAUUUGCAUGUCAUGAGCAGAAACAAAUGUCAGAAGAAAAAUUAUUCUAGAAAGACCAGAGGUCAGAAAGUUAUUAAGUCUCUCCGCCACGUGGCCUGGCCUCUCCAUAUGGUCCCUCCCAUGGCCUCUCUGGCACCAGCCUUGUUCCGGUGCAAAGAUAGUGGGAACCACGUUCGGGACUGAACCAUGCCUUAGAUUCAGUUUGGAACCUGGUUUAACAGGUUGUGCAAGAUAAAACAGUCAUGGCUGGAGACAUACAACUGUGCAGUUCUUCGAAAGUUGCACCACUCUGAAUAAAACUGACAGAAAGAAAUUGGGGAUAAAACAAUUCAAAAGUAGGAGACAGCAAAACUGAGAUAUGUAUCCAUUCCUAUGAAGUGGCUCCCAAGAAAUGCUGUUAACUGAGCAAUUGUUUUAGUGCUUA